UUUUUUUUUUUUUUUUCCUUUCUUGUUCAAAAACGGAAAAACCAGUAGCAGGGGAGAUAAUAAAGCAUGAAUCCAGUAGUAGGGGAGGAAAAAAAACAAGUAAUCUGACAAACCACCAUAUUCCAAACAAAAUUAACCCCAAAUUGCUAAGCCAGUCAUACACUCAUCAUAUCAUUUCCUAUGGCUAGCGCAGAUUCUAGAUGUUGUCUCCGAGUUGCAGCAGAAUGCCAUCAAGCGUCCAAGAAAAGAAACGUAAAUGCGGACAAAAUACGAGAGACAAGAGCAACAACUUGGAAGGAUAUCUCUACCAGUCGGUAAAAUUACGAUAAUAAUAAUUAUUAAUGUUUACUAAUUUGCAAUCCAGCAAAUGGAUAAUGAUUGAUAAAACGGCAGAGAAAAUGCGGCAAUUAAAGAAUCCAAUUCCGCAUUACCAAUCCAAUGGGUUCAAAGCGUCAACCACCCAGGUGAGGAAUGAGACGCCACACUACACUACAAUAGUUGAAGAUGAAGGCUGAUGAUGUCUGUCUCUGUCGGGCUUGAAUGGCGUGAAGAUGAAGGUGAAACUGAGGAAGUAGGAAGCUGAGGAGGAAAUCACAAUAAGUCGGAGGUGUGGAUGAAGGAAGGUGAGACAGUGAGUCAGGCGGUGGAGACGGAGGAAGGAAGGGGAGAGAUGAUGAGGAAGAGGCGGCGGAAGAGUAUAAUUAGGGUUUUUGCAAUUUCAAUUGUUAGAUAUAUCAUGUAUAUUGUUAUUAUGUUAUAUAAUAUAUAUUAUAUAUGUACUGUUAAAAACUAUUAUAUUAUAUAUAAAUAUUAUUAAAUCAAAUUUCCGAAUUCGAAUUCCUAUUUCGAAUUCUCCAAUUCGAAAUUAUCGGUUUCAAAAAUUAUAUUUCGAAUUCGACCUAAUUUCAACCAAUUCC
rnacentral:lncRNA from 1 species